rnacentral:rRNA from 1 species
UACGAAGGGGGCUAGCGUUGUUCGGAAUUACUGGGCGUAAAGCGCGCGCAGGCGGUUCUUUAAGUCAGGGGUGAAAGCCCAGAGCUCAACUCUGGAAUUGCCUUUGAAACUAGAGAACUUGGGUACGGGAGAGGUGAGUGGAAUUCCGAGUGUAGAGGUGAAAUUCGUAGAUAUCGGGAGGAACACCAGUGGCGAAGGCGGCGAUCUGGGAAGAUACUGACGCUGAGGUGCGAAAGCGUGGGGAGCAAACAGG